rnacentral:lncRNA from 10 species
UGCCCUGUAGACCAUGACCUUAUACUGCCUGAUCUUAUAACCUACUUGAAACUUUGCUUUAAAGCCUGUGGAAUUCAGGAAUGCAGAGAGAGCUAGGGGAAAGUAAGAGUUAACUAAAGUUCAUCACAGCACUGUUCACAAUAGCAAAGACAUGGAAUUAACCUAGGUGUCCAUCAGUGGUGGAUUGGAUAAAGAAAAUGAAAGCCAAAUAGCACACGUUCUCACUUGUAAGUUGGAGUUAAGUAUUGGGUACACGUGUACAUAAAGAUGGAAACAAGAGACACUGGGGACUACUAAAGGGGGAGAG